CGGCUUCUAAAAAGAACCUUUCUUUCCUACCUUUCUUUCGCUCUCGACAUGCGCUUUCUUUCCGCUCUGUCCAAGUUUAAACUUGGAACGAUAUUGUGCUGCCACUUGUGUAUCGAAAUUGAACAAAUUUUAUGAUUAGAUUCCCCCAUUUAAUCUUGGGAUGGAUAUAAAAGAUGGAUAUUAGAAGAAAUUGAGG